rnacentral:snRNA from 1 species
AGGCUUGAGGGCCAUAUGGCUGUGACAUCUGUCACCUCAUUGAUUCAGCUGAUCUGGCUGGCGAGGCAGGUGUCCCCUUCCUCCCUCAGGGCUCCAUGUGAGUCCCUCCUGAAGCCAUGCGCUCCUUCAAAGAGAAUGACCUUCCACUCUAGAGGAGGACCAACCAGUCUCCGGUCAAGGGUAUACAAGCAGCUGCCCUCCCCUGAUAGACUCUCCAAACAAGCUCUCAAAAUAUGAAGAGAUUUCAAAAAGUUCAUGGGAAAAUGAAAUCAAAAUAAAAUUCACAUGUCCAAGAAGCUUU